rnacentral:ncRNA from 2 species
UGCCCAAGUGAGCUUGGCGGUACCCCCUGGGUGUAAAAGGGAAGACGGUGUGAAUCCGUCGCGUUUGGCCGGCGCUGUGAGCGGGGAUGAAAGCCGAGGGUAGCCACUGCCGAGGCUGCGGAACGUCGAGUUCCGAAGGCGGCCUCAGGUGGGAAGGUUCGGCAAGUAAGACGAUCCGUGAGCCAGAAGACCUGCCGUCAAGGAGAGUGCGUG